AAACCUACGGGGAAUGAGGUCCGCAUCCUAGAAGCAACGCGGCGUGAAGUCGGUGGCUUUGCUCUGCGUCUCGCCAGCAGCAGAACCUCGGGCAGGAGUUAAACUGCUAACAUCUCAGGUCCCUGAUCUGCAAGAUCCUGAAUUUUUUUGGCAUCAGCUGCUCUAUCUUUCAAGCGUAUCUUCUGCUGAAGAGAUGGAUUUCCAGAUUCAGCUUUCAGUUUCUCGACCUGUCAGUAAGUGGACUUUAUUGUACGUAUCUUACACUGCAGAUUAUACCAACACAGAGGAAAGAUCCUUACUUGAGCAGGUAAGGGCUCCUCCGAUCCACCUUCCUAGUCCUGUGCUCUCCCAUCUGAAGCUCCAGUCCACAGGUACGCUCAGUAACGUGCUCAUGACACACCCUGGGCAGCCCCUGCCACUCCACUUCUGAAUUUUCCCAUCUGUCAGGACCUGGCUCAAAUGACAGCCUUCCCUUUCUGAAACUCUUACACAGCACCCUAUCUCAUAUUUAUUUGCAAUUUUAAAAAUAUUAAACUUUUCUGCAUUCUUAUCUUUGAUUUCCCUGGUGGGGAAUACCAUAUUUAUACUUGUGUUUUCUACAAAAUUUAGUGCUAUUUGUUCAUUUGGCAAAUAGGUGGGAGCCUAUGUUUCAGACCCAGGGAUAAAAAGACAGACUAUGCCCUCGUCUUUUUAGGUCUAGGUCACCAUCUAGGUGGGAUGACAGACAUGUGAACAAUGUCUGUCAUCCCACAUAAAAUGCCAUAAAUUCAAAAUAAUCUUUGAUUUUCUUUAAUCCUGCAAUUACUCCUGCUAAAACCUAUUAAAUGUACAUACCUAUUACAACUAAUUUUUUUAAAAUGUCUCUAAAAUUAGAAUAUACUUCAAGGAACAGCAUUUUGAUUACACUAUCCAAUUGCUGUUACUUAAAUUCAAGAAUAAAGAACAGCCAUGAAUAUGAAGGUAAGCUGCUCCA